CAUAUCAAUAAGCGGAGGAAAAGAAACCAACAGGGAUUGCCUCAGUAGCGGCGAGUGAAGCGGCAAAAGCUCAAAUUUGAAAUCUGGCGUCUUUGGCGUCCGAGUUGUAAUUUGAAGAAGGUAUCUUUGGGCCCGGCUCUUGUCUAUGUUCCUUGGAACAGGACGUCACAGAGGGUGAGAAUCCCGUGCGAUGAGAUGACCCGGGUCUGUGUAAAGUUCCUUCGACGAGUCGAGUUGUUUGGGAAUGCAGCUCUAAGUGGGUGGUAAAUUCCAUCUAAAGCUAAAUAUUGGCGAGAGACCGAUAGCGAACAAGUACAGUGAUGGAAAGAUGAAAAGAACUUUGAAAAGAGAGUGAAAAAGUACGUGAAAUUGUUGAAAGGGAAGGGCUUGAGAUCAGACUUGGUAUUUUGCAUGCUGCUCUCUCGGGGGCGGCCGCUGCGGUUUACCGGGCCAGCAUCGGUUUGGAGCGGCAGGAUAAUGGCGGAGGAAUGUGGCACGGCUUCUGCUGUGUGUUAUAGCCUCUGACGAUACUGCCAGCCUAGACCGAGGACUGCGGUUUUUUUACCUAGGAUGUUGGCAUAAUGAUCUUAAGUCGCCCGUCUUGAAACACGGACC
rnacentral:rRNA from 1 species